UACGUAGGGCGCAAGCGUUGUCCGGAAUUAUUGGGCGUAAAGAGCUCGUAGGCGGUUUGUCGCGUCUGCUGUGAAAACCUAAGGCUCAACCUUGGGCUUGCAGUGGGUACGGGCAGACUAGAGUGCGGUAGGGGUGACUGGAAUUCCUGGUGUAGCGGUGGAAUGCGCAGAUAUCAGGAGGAACACCGAGUGGCGAAGGCAGGUCACUGGGCCGCAAACUGAC
rnacentral:rRNA from 1 species